rnacentral:rRNA from 1 species
UACGGGGGGGGCAAGCGUUGUUCGGAAUUACUGGGCGUAAAGGGCUCGUAGGCGGCCAACUAAGUCAGACGUGAAAUCCCUCGGCUUAACCGGGGAACUGCAUCUGAUACUGGAUGGCUUGAGAUUGGGAGAGGGAUGCGGAAUUCCCAGUGUAGAGGUGAAAUUCGUAGAUAUUGGGAGGAACACCAGAGGCGAAGGCGGCGACCUGGAAGGUAACUGACACUGAGCAGCGAAAGCGUGGGGAGCAAACAGG